rnacentral:rRNA from 1 species
CGUAGGGUGCAAGCGUUUAAUCGGAAUUACUGGGCGUAAAGCGUGCGCAGGUCGGUUUUAUAAGUCUGAUGUGAAAUCCCCGGGCUCAACCUGGGAACUGCAUUGGAGACUGUAAGGCUAGAGUGUGUCAGAGGGGGGUAGAAUUCCACGUGUAGCAGUGAAAUGCGUAGAUAUGUGGAGGAAUACCGAUGGCGAAGGCAGCCCCCUGGGAUAACACUGACGCUCAUGCACGAAAGCGUGGGGAGCAAACAGGAUUAGAUACCCUGGUAGUCCACGCCCUAAACGAUGUCUACUAGUUGUCGGGUCUUAAUUGACUUGGUAACGCAGCUAACGCGUGAAGUAGACCGCCUGGGGAGUACGGUCGCAAGAUUA